UACGUAGGGUGCGAGCGUUGUCCGGAAUUACUGGGCGUAAAGCGUGCGCAGGCGGUUUGUUAAGUCCGCUGUGAAAUCCCCGAGCUCAACUUGGGAAUUGCAGUGGAUACUGGCAAGCUGGAGUAUGGUAGAGGAAGGUGGAAUUCCCGGUGUAGCAGUGAAAUGCGUAGAGAUCGGGAGGAACACCAGUGGCGAAGGCGGCCUUCUGGACCAAUACUGACGCUCAUGCACGAAAGCGUGGGGAGCAAACAGG
rnacentral:rRNA from 1 species